GAUGAACGCUGGCGGCGUGCCUAAUACAUGCAAGUCGAACGAGCCUUCGGGCUAGUGGCGGACGGGUGAGUAACACGUUAGUACCUGCCCUUUAGUGGGGAAGUAACUCGGCGAAAGUACGAGCUAUACCGCAUGUGAUCCUUCGGGUAGUUAAAGUAAAUUUAAUUUCGUCUAAAGGAAGGGGCUUGCGUCUGAUUAGCUAGUUGGUAGGG
rnacentral:rRNA from 1 species